UACAGAGGUCUCAAGCGUUGUUCGGAUUCAUUGGGCGUAAAGGGUGCGUAGGUGGCGCCAUAAGUCAGGUGUGAAAUCUCGGGGCUCAACUCCGAAACUGCACUUGAUACUGUGGUGCUGAGUACUGGAGAGGAGAUUGGAAUUUACGGUGUAGCAGUGAAAUGCGUAGAUAUCGUAAGGAAGACCAGUGGCGAAGGCGAAUCUCUGGACAGUUACUGACACUGAGGCACGAAGGCCAGGGGAGCAAACGGG
rnacentral:rRNA from 1 species